AACGCGAAGAACCUUACCAGGUCUUGACAUCCUUUGACCAUUCUGGAGACAGAACUUUCCCUUCGGGGACAAAGUGACAGGUGGUGCAUGGUUGUCGUCAGCUCGUGUCGUGAGAUGUUGGGUUAAGUCCCGCAACGAGCGCAACCCUUGAUUUUAGUUGCCAGCAUUCAGUUGGGCACUCUAAAGUGACUGCCGGUGUAAGCCGGAGGAAGGUGGGGAUGACGUCAAAUCAUCAUGCCCCUUAUGACCUGGGCUACACACGUGCUACAAUGGAUAAUACAAAGGGUCGCGAAGCCGCGAGGUGGAGCCAAUCCCAUAAAAUUAUUCUCAGUUCGGAUUGCAGGCUGCAACUCGCCUGCAUGAAGCCGGAAUCGCUAGUAAUCGUAGAUCAGCAUGCUACGGUGAAUACGUUCCCGGGCCUUGUACACACCGCUACAGU
rnacentral:rRNA from 1 species